rnacentral:rRNA from 1 species
GAUGAACGCUGGCGGCGUGCCUAAUACAUGCAAGUCGAGCGAACAGACGAGGAGCUUGCUCCUCUGACGUUAGCGGCGGACGGGUGAGUAACACGUGGAUAACCUACCUAUAAGACUGGGAUAACUUCGGGAAACCGGAGCUAAUACCGGAUAAUAUAUUGAACCGCAUGGUUCAAUAGUGAAAGACGGUUUUGCUGUCACUUUAGAUGGAUCCGCGCCGCAUUAGCUAGUUGGUAAGGUAACGGCUUACCAAGGCAACGAUGCGUAGCCGACCUGAGAGGGUGAUCGGCCACACUGGAACUGAGACACGGUCCAGACUCCUACGGGAGGCAGCAGUAGGGAAUCUUCCGCAAUGGGCGAAAGCCUGACGGAGCAACGCCGCGUGAGUGAUGAAGGUCUUCGGAUCAUAAAACUCUGUUAUUAGGGAAGAACAAAUGUGUAAGUAACUAUGCACGUCUUGACGGUACCUAAUCAGAAAGCCACGGCUAACUACGUG